UACCAAAUCAAGGCCAGGUAACUGUGUGACAUCACAGGUGGAGAAUCUUUCAGUCUGAUUAGUGAACUCUCAGCCAUUGCUGCAGGAAGCUCGCAGGACUCAGCUUGGCACAUGGCAGCCUCACACAGUGACUCUCUGGUGGUCUUAUUUGGGGCAACCGCUGGUCACAAUGGGUCUAAAUUGGGCUCGGAUGAAAGGGAACUGAUUCUCUUGGUGUGGCAAGUAGUGGAUCUGAGCAGCAAGAAGACGGGUACUCUGCACAAAGCUUUGGUCAAGGCAGAUAAUUUAGCCCUUACAGAAGAAUGCAGAGAGGAGACCGGCCUGACUUCUGAAGGGCUAAGUAAAGCGGAUCCAUUGGAUAGAAUUUUGAGACAGUUCACACAGAUUGUUUAUUCAGACCUUCGAGCAUUAGGCAGGACAUCGUACACCCUAUGCACCGAUGGCCAACUCUUCCUACGCCAGGUUCUGCACCCAGAGGCAUCUAAGAAGAAUUUUCUUCUGCCGGACAGCUUCUAUUCCUUUUUUGAUCUACGGAAGGAGUUUCAUGAGUGCUGCCCAAAUGCAGCCCCCGUCGGUGACCUGACCAUCAAAUCAAUGGCAGAAUAUCUGGAAAUUCAAGUGGAUGACAGCGAUAAUGACUUUGGGGUCUGGCAAGUAACCGCCAUGGUUGAUACAAUACUUGCACUACUAGAGGAGCCUUACAAUCACCAUUUUUUUGGACCAGAAACUGUAAAAUACAAGUAUGAGACAGGGCCAUGUAGUAAGUCAGAGAUGGUGGACAGUGAUACAGUAAUCCGAGCUCGUGGUUUACCGUGGCAGUCAUCUGACCAGGACAUUGCACGGUUCUUCAAAGGCCUCAACAUUGCCAAGGGUGGUGUGGCACUUUGUCUGAAUGCCCAGGGCAGGAGGAAUGGAGAAGCUUUAGUACGAUUUGUAAAUCCUGAACAAAGGAACUUGGCCCUUGAGCGACAUAAACACCACAUGGGGAGUCGCUAUAUAGAGGUUUACAAGGCUACAGGAGAAGAGUUUCUAAAGAUUGCAGGAGGAACAUCUAAUGAAGUGGCCCAAUUCCUGUCAAAGGAAAACCAAGUUAUUAUUCGGAUGAGAGGUCUUCCAUUCACUGCGACUCCAGAGGAUGUUCUGGCCUUCCUUGGCGCUGAGUGUCCAGUCACAGGGGAAAAGGAGGGGAUAUUAUUUGUGAAGUACCCAGACGGCCGACCAACAGGUGAUGCCUUUGUGCUGUUCUCCUGUGAAGAAUACGCUCAACAAGCUCUCAUGAAGCACAAAGAGAUCCUGGGGAAGAGAUACAUUGAGCUGUUCCGGAGCACAGCUGCUGAGGUGCAGCAGGUUCUUAACAGAUACUUGUCAACUCCUUUGAUUCCAACCCUUCCUGCCCCCCUUAUCUCGGUUCUUCCUCCUCACUAUUCUAUGGCCACCAGUAGUUCCAGAGACUGUAUCCGACUUCGGGGUCUUCCAUAUACAGCCGGCAUUGAUGAUAUCCUAGAGUUUAUGGGUGAUUCAACAGCAGAUAUCAAGCCUCAUGGAGUGCAUAUGGUGUUGAACCAGCAGGGAAGGCCGUCGGGAGAUGCGUUUAUUCAGAUGAAGUCCUCUGAUAGGGCCUUGCUAGUAGCUCAGAAAUGUCACAAGAAGAUGAUGAAGGAUCGCUAUGUAGAGGUUUUCCAGUGCUCUGGGGAGGAGAUGAACUUUGUGUUAAUGGGUGGCACAUUGAAUCGUAGUGGUUUAUCACCUCCGCCAUGUAAGUUACCAUGUCUCUCCCCUCCGACAUAUGCUGCUUUCCAGGCUGCGGCCAUUAUGCCAUCAGAAGCUGCUGCACUUUACCCAUCCCCUGCACUGUUGGCUGCCACGAGGAGUCCCCACACGCCAGCUGUAACGCCUUCUGCUGUGGCAUAUUACCCAGCCCAGGCCACACAACUUUACAUGAAUUACACAGCCUAUUACCCUAGCCCACCGGUCUCCCCUACUACAGUUGGUUACCUUGCCACCCCAGCGGGAGCACUAGCAUCUGCCUCUCAUGCUGCAAUGUUGCCACAGCCUGGCGGGUUGGUUCGUAUGCAGGGAAUGCCAUACAACAUGGGAAUGAAGGAUAUCUUGAGCUUCUUCCAGGGUUACCAGGAUGAUGUUUCGCCACUUCUCUUAUGAGGUGCCCCCCCUCUUUGUUGUGCUUUCUCCAGAUGAAUACAGUGGACUUGUGCAGAUGGGAGACCAGACACGAAGUGUAUUGCAAGCACCAAAAGAGUGGGUCUGCUUAUGAAAGGGAUACCUCAUCAAGCUUCAUCCUGAAUCUAUCCUGAUUCAACCCACCCUGAGUGACCAUCAAAACACGGAUGCCCUUGUAACCUGCCCCUACCUUCAACUGGUGCAGAAAGCCAUUUCUGAAAAGCAAGGUUUAAUUUUAUGCGACCAGCGAGUGAACUUGUGUCACACAUGAGAGGCACAGGGAUAGGGAAAUAGGAGGGCUGGAAAAAAACAGGAGUGGUCAGACCGACUCGCACCUCCCUUACAAAAUAAAGUUAAAAAAAAAAAAAAAAAAAAAGACUGUGGCAAACUGGCUUAUUUUGGCAGUGGGUGAGAGAUGUUGUGACUCUAACUUCAAAUGUUACUUCAACUGUACAUAAUACUUCCAUAAACCAGAGCAUUUAAAAAAUAUAUAUAUAUAUAAAAAAAACACUUACCCAUCCACCUAUUAUGCCCAGUUAAUGUCUUCCAGACUCCAUUCAUACCCUAAUUCUCUGUUCUACUUGUUACAUAUAUUCAUUAACCUCUCAAAAAAGCAAACUUUCUUUUUUUUUUCCCCCUGCAUAACGAAAAGCAAGAUGGCUACCCUGUCAAAAGGGUAUGACCUAUAUAUCUGCUUAUCACAGACAUUCACUUAAACCACCAACUUUAAACUGCUCUCAGCCAAAAUACCUCCAAGUGUCACUAACUUAUUAUAUAGAUUUUUUUAAUUUAAAGAAAUUGCUUUUGAACAGUAAGUUUUCUACUUCCGUUUACAAUGUUUGCUUAGAUCCUUGAUGCUUUAAGGCACUUUGUGCAUGUGUGUGUAUAUAUUUUAUUAUAUAUAAUAUGCAAACACAUAUGUGCAUGAUUUUUAGUGACAGAGGAGGAAAUAAAGAAAUUUUGAAUUCUG